UUGUAUGUCGCCAAUGAUGGAAAUUUGUUAAGAUGAAAUAAGAUGAUUUUUACAUUAACAUUUCGUCACUACCGCUGAGGCGACUUGUCU